UUAAAGUUACAUUAUCAUUUUUAUAUAUAUAUAUAUAUGAAAAAGAGUUAUCACAUACCUAGAUUAUAAAUACCAUUUCAGCCGGUCAGAGUGAUUUUGCAGCUGGUUUCCAUUUCCCAACACUCCUGUAUUGCUAAUCUGCCAUUGAAAGAAUUCUUAAAGAGAGAUGCAAAAAGUUUUAUCAAGAUCUUAACUAGUAAUAAAAAGCGGAGAAACUAGGGAUUUGAGGUUUGAAACUUUUUUUAUGGUUUUCAUUUGUCAAUGUAUUUGUUUCUUUUAUAGGCUAUUGGAAAGAGCACUUAAAAAAUAAUUCUUCAACAUUUGCAGUAGUGUUAUCAAAGGCGAAAAGCGCAAAAACGCUCUAAGGUCCAUUGGGGCUUUAAGCACAAAGCCCAAAUAAAGCGUGAUCUUUAAUGAAAAAAGGCGCAACUGAAAAAAAGUAAAAAUAUGUAUAUGUAGUUGAAGACUAAUAAUUAUAAGCAUGAAUAACAAAUAUAUGAAUAAAGAAAUUGAUUUUUUUUGCGACAAAGCAAGAUAUCAAUUGUUUAAUAUCGCAUUUUCAGGAUUACACUCGUUGGCAAGGAAAAAUAUGUCAUAAAGCCUUGAUGUGAUACUAAAGCGCCCACAAAGCAAGGCGAAACACUCAACAUGUUUUGAGCCUCGCUUCAGGGCUUAAGCGCGCCUUUGACAAUACUGAUUUGCAGUUCAAAUUCUGAAACAAAAUAAAUCCUAACUAAAAUACAUCAUUGAUCCUAGCGAUAGUACUAGUGUUAUCCUCGUGUUCGCUAUUUUUAGAUCGAUAUUAUUACAUGAUGUUUUUCGUGCUUUGUUUUUAUUUUUUCUGGCUGUUGUUACAAUUUCGUUUUCCGUAGUUUGUUUUCAUAAUUGCUGGGAUUUUUCUGUAUUGAACCGAGGGUCUUCCAGAAACAGUCUCUCUACCUUCAUAAAGUAGAGGUAUGGACUGUGUACAUACUACCCUCUCCAGAUCCCAUUUGUUGAAAUAUAUUAGCUAUGUUGUUGUUGUUUAAUACAUCAUGAGCACUUUAUCUUCACUAAGCAUAUGUAUCUAUGUGUGUGUGUAUAGUAGUGUUGUAUUUGCUUCUUCCUUGAGCAUAUUGAAUAUGAAUCUUGUGUUUGGAUGACAAGUGAGGCUUGCUCAGUUGGUAAAAGUACCUCCAUCGACCGUUAGGUCCUGAGUUCGAGUCACACUGGAAGGGAAGUGUGGAAACCGAAUCUUUCAUCGAAAAAAUAAAAGAUACAACUAUUCACCCUCAAACGUAUAGAUAUAUAAAACAUAUGUGUUGGCUAGUUGGAGGUAGCAGGUAGCCAGGUACUGGAUUGAUUAGUUGAGGUAUGCGCAUAGUUCGUAUUACCAUUGUAAGAAAAGAUAAACUCGUAUUAAACAGCUUUUUGGCAGCUAUCAAGUGGAUAUAAUUUUUAACUUAUAUUUGAUAGCAAUUUAAUCUUUUUAUACAAUACAACUAAUACAAGAGCGUGACUGAAAGGUAUGACGUUCGAUUAAUCAGAAGCAUUGACUUCGUGGAACUUGCAGCUUUCAGGUCAUAAUUGGAAAACAGUAGAUAUGGCUUAUGCUAGUGUUGCUUCUCUUAUGAGAACAAUGGAAUCGGUCUUGACAUCCAAUUCGCUAAUGCAAUCUCUAAGAGAAGAAUUUAGCGGUCUUCAUGACAAAAUUAGUUCCCUUGAAGUUUUUCUCAAAAUUUUUGAGAAAGGCAAUGUUUCUGGAGAAAUGACAGACUUGGAGAUACAGAUAAAAGAAGUUGCAAAUGCUAUUGAACACACAAUUCAACUGCGACUAAUAGAUUCUGUAAUGGCAGAUGAUGAAAUGCAGAAAGAAAUGGCAGAUGAGAGGCUCUAUGAUAGCCUAAAACAAGUAUCCGAGGAAUCUUUGGUUCAAGACUCAAGUUUAGGAAAACAUACUCCGAAUGUGGAGAACAUGAAUAUGGUGGGACGUGAUGAUCAAAGAAAAAAAUUGCUAGAAGAUCUGACUAAAGGCUUCACUAGUGAAUCCAAGGUCAUCCCGAUUGUCGGGAUGGGGGCAUUGGCAAAACAACUCUAGCAAGAGAAGUUUACAAUGAUGCAUCCAUUCGACUUCAUUUCGAUGUUCGUGAAUGGGCUACUAUUUCGCAACAACACAAUGUAAACGAGAUCUUGCUGAGCCUUGUGCAUUCUACAAAGGGUGAUUCAUUUUACAUGGAAGGUGAGGCAGAGCUAGCAAACAUGCUACAAAAGAGUUUAAAGGGUAAGAGGUACUUAAUUGUAUUGGAUGACAUGUGGAAGAGUGAAGCAUGGGAUGAUAUUAGACUAUGCUUUCCAAUUCAAAACAAUGGGAGUCGAAUAUUGUUGACGACUCGUAAUGCUGAAGUAGUUUGUUCUGCUGGUACAAAGAAUCUUUCUUUGAAGAUGGAUUUCUUGAAUCCAUAUGAGAGUCGGAACCUUUUUAAAAGUGCAGCGUUUACAAAUGAAGCAUUGUCAUAUGAGUUUGAGAUCAUUGGGGAGUAAAUUGUAGACAAAUGUCAAAGGGUUACCACUAACUAUUGUCGCGGUUGCUGGGCUUGUGUCCAAAUGUAAAAGGACAAUAGAAGUUUGGGGAAAUGUUGCUAAAGAUGUAAAAUCAUUUGUCACAAAUGAUCCCGAUGAAAGAUGUUUACAUGUGCUCUGGUUGAUGUUUAACCAAAGAAUUAGAUUCUCAGUCAAAGCCUAUUUUUAGAAGUACUCGGGUUACUGAUAAUCAAGAAAUUCAAUGUUCUCUCAGAAAUAAGAAAGGAAAUUAGAAUAAGAAAUGACAAAGUAAUUAAUAGAAAGCACAAGAAAGUAAUUAUAUUCCAAUAAUAAUCAGAAUAUGUCUAUACAAAUGACAUUUCUUUCCCUUAUAUAGAGGUCUUCAAGUACAAUGUCUUUUCCCUUUUAAGACCGAGUCAUUAUGAGCAUUAAUGACAUUAAUGAAACGUUAUAAUUAAUAAUCGUAACUGUU